rnacentral:rRNA from 1 species
CCUACGGGUGGCUGCAGUGGGGAAUAUUGCACAAUGGGGGAAACCCUGAUGCAGCGACGCCGCGUGAGUGAGGCAGUCUUUCGUUAUGUACAGCUCUAUCAGCAGGGCAGAAAAUGACGGUACCUGCGUAAGAAGCACCGGCUAACUACGUGCCAGCAGCCGCGGUAAUACGUAGGGGGCAAGCGUUAUCCGGAUUUACUGGGUGUAAAGGGAGCGUAGACGGCAGUGCAAGUCUGGAGUGAAAGGCGGGGGCUCAACCCCCGUACUGCUCUGGAAACUAUACGGCUGGAGUGCAGGAGAGGUAAGGGGAAUUCCUAGUGUAGCGGUGAAAUGAGUAGAUAGUAGGAGGAACAUCAGUGGCGAAGGCGGCUUACUGGACUGUAACUGACGUUGAGGAUCGAAAGCGAGGGUAGCAAACAGGAUUAGAUACCCUAGUAGUC